UACGUAGGGUGCAAGCGUUGUCCGGAAUUAUUGGGCGUAAAGAGCUCGUAGGCGGUCUGUCGCGUCGGCUGUGAAAUCCCGAGGCUCAACCUCGGGUCUGCAGUCGAUACGGGCAAACUGGAGUGUUGCAGGGGAGACUGGAAUUCCUGAUGUAGCGGUGAAAUGCGCAGAUAUCAGGAGGAACACCGGUGGCGAAGGCGGGUCUCUGGGCCGAUAUUGACGCUGAGGAGCGAAAGCGUGGGGAGCGAACAGG
rnacentral:rRNA from 1 species